AUUGAACGCUGGCGGCAUGCCUAACACAUGCAAGUCGAACGAGUGGCGGACGGGUGAGUAAUGUCUGGGAAACUGCCUGAUGGAGGGGGAUAACUACUGUAAAAGGUAGCUAAUACCGCAUACCAUCCGAUGGGCCCUGAUGGGAUUAGCUAGUAGGUGGGGUAACGGCUCACCGAGGCGACGAUCCCUAGCUGGCCUGAGAGGAUGAACAGCCACACUGGAACUGAGACACGGUCCAGACUCCUACGGGAGGCAGCAGUAGGGAAUCUUGGGCAAUGGGCGCAAGCCUGAUGCAGCCAUGCCGCGUGUAUGAAGAAGGCUUUCGGGUUGUAAAGUACUUUUAUCGGAGAAGCGGUACUCGCCGAAGAAGCACCGGCUAACUCCGUGCCAGCAGCCGCGGUAAUUC
rnacentral:rRNA from 1 species